CUGGCCCCCGAGAGGACGCUGUCCAAGUCCCCAGCCGGGGGCCCCGCGUAGACCUGGAGUGGAUGCCCCCUCCUUCCCUUCAUGAUUCGCUUGUAGCGCAGUGGCGAUGGAUGAUGAGGAUGGGAGAUGCUUACUAGACGUGAUCUGUGACCCUCAGGCCCUCAAUGACUUCUUGCAUGGGUCGGAGAAGCUGGACAGUGAUGAUCUCCUGGAUGCCCCCGGGGAGGCCCAAAGUGCCUUCUAUGAAGGUCCUGGGCUCCAUGUGCAAGAAGCUUCCGGCAACCACCUGAACCCGGAGCCCAGCCAGCCGGCCCCCAGCGUGGACCUGGACUUCCUGGAGGAUGACAUCCUGGGCUCGCCCACCACGGCGGGUGCCGGUGGAGGGGGCGGGGGCGCCGACCAGCCCUGCGACAUCCUUCAGCAGAGCCUGCAGGAGGCCAACAUCACGGAGCAGACACUUGAGGCUGAGGCCGAGCUGGACCUGGGCCCCUUCCAGCUGCCCACGCUGCAGCCCGCAGAUGGUGGGGCAGGCCCGACAGGCGCUGCGGGGACGGCUGCUGUGGCUGCAGGACCCCAGGCCCUCUUCCCCGGCAGCGCUGACCUGCUGGGGCUGCAGGCCCCGCCCACAGUGCUGACCCACCAGGCCCUGGUGCCACCCCAGGACGUGGUCAACAAGGCUCUGAGCGUCCAGCCCUUCCUGCAGCCUGUGGGCCUGGGCAACGUGACCCUGCAGCCCAUCCCGGGCCUCCAGGGCCUGCCCAACGGCAGCCCUGGGGGCGCUUCAGCCGCCACUCUUGGCCUGGCGCCCAUCCAGGUGGUGGGCCAGCCCGUCAUGGCACUCAACCCACCCACUUCGCAGCUCCUGGCCAAGCAGGUGCCUGUCAGUGGCUACCUGGCCUCAGCGGCCGGCCCCUCGGAGCCAGUGACGCUGGCAUCGGCUGGUGUGUCCCCCCAGGGGGCCGGCCUGGUCAUCCAGAAGAGCCUUCCGGCGGCCGUGGCCACCACACUCAACGGGAACUCAGUGUUUGCAGGGGCAGGGGCCGCCACGGUGGCGGCCAGCGGGGCAGCAUCAGGACCGCCGCUGGCAGUGGCCCCAGGCCUGGGCACGUCACCUCUGGUGCCAGCGCCCAAUGUGAUUCUGCACCGCACACCCACGCCCAUCCAGCCCAAGCCCGCCGGCGUGCUGCCCCCCAAGCUCUACCAGCUGACACCCAAGCCCUUCGGCCCUGCAGGUGCCACACUCACCAUCCAGGGUGAGCCGGGGGCACUGCCGCAGCAGCCCAAGGCCCCACAGAACCUGACUUUCAUGGCAGCCGCGGGCAAGGCCGGCCAGAACGUGGUGCUCUCGGGCUUCCCAGCGCCUGCCCUGCAGGCCAACGUCUUCAAGCAGCCCCCGGUCAGCAGCGCAGGCACAGCGCCGCCACAGCCCCCGGGGGCCCUGAGCAAGCCCAUGAGCGUCCACCUGCUGAACCAGGGCAGCAGCAUCGUGAUCCCUGCGCAGCACGUGCUGCCGGGCCAGAACCAGUUCCUGCUGCCUGGGGCGCCUGCCGCCGUCCCCCUGCCCCAGCCGCUCUCCGCCCUGCCGGCCAGCGUGGGCGGCCAGAUCCUCACAGCAACAGCCCCUCACCCGGGCGGCCAGCUCCUCGCCAACCCCAUCCUCACCAACCAGAACCUGGCGGGCCCGCUGAGCCUGGGCCCGGUCCUGGCCCCCCACUCGGGGCCCCACGGCGCUGCACACAUCCUCUCGGCUGCGCCCAUCCAGGUGGGCCAGCCGGCGCUCUUCCAGAUGCCUGUGUCGCUGGCCGCCGGCAGCUUGCCCACCCAGAGCCAGCCGGCCCCCGCUGGCCCCGCCGCCACCACCGUCCUCCAGGGGGUCACGCUGCCCCCCAGUGCCGUGGCCAUGCUCAACGCCCCCGAUGGGCUGGUGCAGCCGGCCGCCCCUGCCGCCACCACCGGGGAGGCCACGCCUGUCCUUGCGGUGCAGCCUGCUCCCCCGGUGCCCCCUGUGGUCAGCACCCCACUGCCCCUGGGCCUCCAGCAGCCGCCGGCACAGGCCCCGCAGGCCCCUGCCCCGCAGGCCACCGCCCCACCUCAGGCCAGCACCCCCCAGCCCAGCCCCGGCCUGGCAUCCAGCCCAGAGAAGAUCGUCCUGGGGCAGCCUUCUGCAGCCGCCACAGCCAUCCUCACUCAGGACUCCCUGCAGAUGUUCCUGCCCCAGAGAACCAGGAUGUCUUCCAGCUGA
rnacentral:lncRNA from 1 species